rnacentral:rRNA from 1 species
UACAGAGGGUGCAAGCGUUAAUCGGAAUUACUGGGCGUAAAGGGUGCGUAGGUGGUUUUGUAAGUUGGGUGUGAAAGUCCUGGGCUUAACCUGGGGACUGCGCUCAAUACUGUAGAGCUAGAGUACUGUAGAGGAAGGUGGAAUUUCCAGUGUAGCGGUGAAAUGCGUAGAUAUUGGAAGGAACAUCAGUGGCGAAGGCGACUUUCUGGACAGAUACUGACACUGAGGCACGAAAGCGUAGGGAGCAAACAGG